UCCAGACUCCUACGGGAGGCAGCAGUGGGGGAUAUUGCACAAUGGGGGGAACCCUGAUGCAGCGACGCCGCGUGGGUGAAGGAGCGUUUCGGCGCGUAAAGCCCUAUCGGCAGGGAAGAAGGAGGACGGUACCUGACUAAGAAGCCCCGGCUAACUACGUGCCAGCAGCCGCGGUAAUACGUAGGGGGCAAGCGUUAUCCGGAUUUACUGGGUGUAAAGGGGGCGCAGACGGCAGCGCAAGCCAGGAGUGAAAGCCCGGGGCCCAACCCCGGGACUGCUCUUGGAACUGCGCGGCUGGAGUGCAGGAGGGGCAGGCGGAAUUCCUGGUGUAGCGGUGAAAUGCGUAGAUAUCAGGAGGAACACCGGUGGCGAAGGCGGCCUGCUGGACUGCGACUGACGUUGAGGCCCGAAAGCGUGGGGAGCAAACAGGAUUAGAUACCCGAGUACUA
rnacentral:rRNA from 1 species